UUUCCGUAGGUGAACCUGCGGAAGGAUCAUUAGUGAUUUGGCCGAAAGGCCUUUAUCCAAUCCUCACACCUGUGAACACUUUGUCGGUCGGGACCCUGGUCUCGGCCGGACAAACCAUACAAUACUAUGUGUCAUGAACGUGAUGUAUUACAAAACAAAACAAAACUUUCAACAACGGAUCUCUUGGCUCUC
rnacentral:misc_RNA from 1 species